rnacentral:rRNA from 1 species
UACGAAGGGGGCUAGCGUUGUUCGGAAUCACUGGGCGUAAAGCGCACGCAGGCGGAUCGUUAAGUCAGGGGUGAAAUCCCGAGGCUCAACCUCGGAACUGCCUCUGAUACUGGCGAUCUUCGAGUCCGGGAGAGGUGAGUGGAACUCCGAGUGUAGAGGUGAAAUUCGUAGAUAUUCGGAAGAACACCAGUGGCGAAGGGCGGCUCACUGGCCCGGUACUGACGCUCAGGUGCGAAAGCGUGGGGAGCAA